AUGUUAGUGAACUGUCAUUCCAUUGUUGCGGACGAGCUCGCGGGCGUGCUCCGCCACGUUGGUGGCCUCGACGGUGUACACCUUCCUGGCGCCGGCCUGAGCGCUCCAGAUAGCGAGGAUGCCGCUCCCGGUGUCGACGUCAAGAACCACCUAACAGAUCCACCGAAUCAAUCAAGACGGAGCCCCAAAUUACGGCAAACCUCAGACCUCCGGCGAUUUGUGGGGACGGGGGAGCGGGGAGGGGCGGUUUGUCUCACCUUGCCGCGGAAGUGGUGGGGUUUGCGCGAGACGGCGGAGUGGUAG
rnacentral:rRNA from 1 species